UACAGAGGGUGCAAGCGUUAAUCGGAAUUACUGGGCGUAAAGCGUGCGUAGACGGUUAUUUAAGUCAGGUGUGAAAGCCCCGGGCUCAACCUGGGAAUUGCAUUGAGACUGAAUAGCUAGGGUGCGGAAGAGGGAAGCGGAAUUUCCGGUGUAGCGGUGAAAUGCGUAGAUAUCGGAAGGAACACCAGUGGCGAAAGCGGCUUCCUGGUCCAGCACCGACGUCAGGCACGAAAGCGUGGGGAGCAAACAGGAUUAGA
rnacentral:rRNA from 1 species